GGAUAUUCCAAGAAACAAGAAUCCUCGAAAAUAGUUUCAUUGGCUUUGGAAAAUAUUGAGUGGGUGAUGAACUUCAAAAGAAAUCAUUUGGUAGGAUUCAUCAAAUAAGUGAAGUGUUAUAAAAGUAAUUCUUGGAAAGUCACUUUCGAUGAGCACUAUCUAGUGUAGCAAAAGAAAGAAAUGCAGCAGGAAAUCAAUAGCUACACUUUCAUCUUCACCUCCAAUUGCUUUGCAGAACUGAACUUCCAGAUCGUGAUGCACAUUCCAGUGUGAGGGAUCGGAUCCAAUCAUUGUGCAUUCUGCAGGUUUCGGAUAAAGAUGAACUUUCCCAUUCAUCUUAGAAUUAACCUGUUCUAAGGUGCCAUAGGCCAUCACACCCAGCCCCCUGUUGUAUAAAGGAAAUCCAGAACUGUGAUAUCUUCAAAUAGAUGGCUGCUAGCUUCUCGAAGACCUCCAUUGAGAUACAUCAUCUCCCUCCCCAUGCCACACCAAGUAUUUGACACCAUUGUUGGAUGGCUCUUGUCAUCAAAAGGUUUCUCCAAAUGUUCCGGACAAAUCUGUAAUUAUAUUUUCUUGGCCUCUGGUUAGGAAUGGGUGAAUCUGCCAAUUUUGUUUUCUUUCUACUUCUUGUUUCUCAGUCUUAAAUUCAGUUCUUCACAUUUCCACAUCAGUUGGCAAUUUCCCCGCCAGCAUCUUAGUGAGAAUGUCUCCUACAAUACAUAUGUCUACAUGGAGUCUUCCACAAUAUUCACAUUUUUACCAACCAGUCCCACCAAAUAUUAGGCG
rnacentral:lncRNA from 1 species